CCAUAUGGUCGACCUGCAGGCGGCCGCGAAUUCACUAGUGAUUAGAGUUUGAUCAUGGCUCAGAACGAACGCUGGCGGCAUGCCUAACACAUGCAAGUCGAACGAUGCUUUCGGGCAUAGUGGCGCACGGGUGCGUAACGCGUGGGAAUCUGCCCUUAGGUUCGGAAUAACAGUUAGAAAUGACUGCUAAUACCGGAUGAUGUCGAUAAGACCAAAGAUUUAUCGCCUGAGGAUGAGCCCGCGUAGGAUUAGCUAGUUGGCGUGGUAAAGGCGCACCAAGGCGACGAUCCUUAGCUGGUCUGAGAGGAUGAUCAGCCACACUGGGACUGAGACACGGCCCAGACUCCUACGGGAGGCAGCAGUGGGGAAUAUUGGACAAUGGGCGCAAGCCUGAUCCAGCAAUGCCGCGUGAGUGAUGAAGGCCUUAGGGUUGUAAAGCUCUUUUACCCGGGAUGAUAAUGACAGUACCGGGAGAAUAAGCCCCGGCUAACUCCGUGCCAGCAGCCGCGGUAAUACGAAUCGAAUUCCCGCGGCC
rnacentral:rRNA from 1 species